CCCGAGGUGCCGGCGCCGUCUUCUUCAAGUCCGGCGACAAUCCCUCCUCUGUCCUCCGGUGAGCAAUUCUCAACCGCCCGAUCUCUCUCUCUAACGGUCCAGAUUAAAUCAUGUUCUGUUUUUUCUCUCUCGAAUAGGCAUGCGCUAUUUAGUGGCCGUACGCUGUUUAGCCAUCACAGCGAACACGCUCCAGCCAAUCCCGUCUCGCCACGUGGCACAUCCACAGCUGCCGCAGCAGUUCUGCCAGAAAUCUGUUUUAGCACAAUUUAUUUUGGCAGAUUCCAUAUCAAAUGUUCGUUUAGGUAUAUCUUGAGACCCGUAUGUCCAAAUUCAUCGAUUCUUUUUCCUGUGUACUCAUAGUGACCAGGAGAAUAUUGUAGAACCAAAAUUUUACAUUUUUUAACAGUUCAAAUUCGAAUUUGUUUAAAUUUGAUUUCAAACUUCCGGAGGCCAUAUCUUUCAAACCGUUGAUCUAAAUAUGCAUUGUGAUCCUACUAGCAUGUAGAUAAUAGAUACCUACUGAUAUGUUCUGUUAAUUAAAUUUUUAUUUGAAUUCCUUGAUGUUGACUUUAAUGUGGUGUUAUGUGAGUACGAUUUAUUUAUCGGUGCCUUCGUUAUCGUAUAGAUUGUCCGGAGUGUGAAGCGGAUCAGAAUUAUGCGUUAGAGUACUAAAACACCGCUCAAGGCAAGUUUGCACUUUUGAUUUUGCUCAUCCUAUAUUCUGCUAUGCAUGUGUGGUUUUAUGCUAUGAUAUAUGUUUGGUUUGAUAUAUGUAUCCUGUGUUGUCAUGUUUUGGUAUUGAUUGUGUUAUGUGAUGGUGUGAUCAACUUGCUAUGAUAGACGUGGGCAUGUGUCGAGUGAUCCAUGAAAUUGGCGAGUGUUUAUAACCGUAGGCUCGGGAUUAUUAACCAGGUGAAUGCGUCACUGGCAGAGCGCUCUAUUGUCCCUAGAGAAUGCGCCAUUGACAGAGCGCACUUGAGGCGAGGUAUAGUUAUCAGAACUUAAAUCAGGUGAAUGCGUCCUUGGCAGAGCGCUCUAUGGUUCCUAGAGAAUGCGCCAUUGACAAAGCGCACUUGAGAGAUACUUCUGAAGUUCCUGUCAUGUUUAUUUAGAAUCUUUGGGUUAUCUUGGGCGAGUAAAUUAGAGAGGGUUGUGAGUUCAGGUAGUGGAGGUAGGUGAAGACAUUCUUCUCCAAACUAACUUGUGUGUUUUGUUUGUCAUACAUUGUUUUGUGGAUGUAGGUUUGCUAUAUCAUAUUGUGUGAUUUGCCAAUACAUUCAAUGUAUUGACCCUUUGUGGCUGCAACUUAUCAUGUUGCAGGAUAUUCAGGUGAUCAGUGAGAUACAGUAGGGUCGCGAGUCUUCACUCAACAUGUUCUCCAGUGGGCAUUGAUGGACUCAUCGUUUAUUAUGCUACCUUUCCGCUGGUAUUAUUGAAUAAAGCUAGCUAUGUGCUAUUCACUUUGUAAUACAUUAUAAUUUCUGGAUCAUACGUUUUAGUAAAUGAUGCACUUGUUACUUUGAUAUUCCUAUGUACUAUGUGUGCUAGCG
rnacentral:lncRNA from 1 species